AUGUCGCUUCCUCCAUCACAGUCGCCGCUGCCAAACACCACCGCCUCACCUACGCUGCCGCCAGCCCCGUCCGCGUCCAUGCCGGCGCUCAUGUCCGGGACGGCCACCCCGACAGCGCCGACCGCCACUGCGGCGGAGCCGCCCCCCAUCCUCUCGCCCGAGGAGGUCUCGGGUACCCUUCGGGAGCUCGUCCAGGCGGUCAAGGGCAUCAGCCUCUAUCUCGCCGGGAACCAGCCCCCGCCGCCGAGCGCCGCCACCACCGCCUACGGGCCGCCGCCGCUCCAGUGGCCCGCCCCGGCCUUCCAGUCGCCCUACGGCGGGCUGCCCCCGCCGCCGCUGCUGCAGCAGCACUACCCGGCCGCGGGGAACCCUUGGCCCGCGUGGCCGGCCGCCAUCGCACCGCUGGGGGACCCUUCCCAGCAGCUUCUCCAGGCGCCCCCGCCGGCUACUUCGACGCUGGCUGCGGCGCCGCAGCUCCACCAGGCGCCGCCACCGUCGACAACAUCACCACCCGUGCCCCGGCCCACUGGUCGGCCCCUGCACCAGGUGCAGUUUCCGCCAUCGCCAUCGCCAAUACCCGCGUGGGCGGCCGGCUCGUCUUCGGGCCUGGUGUAUACCACGGCGCCGGAGCACCCGACGCCUUCCCCCCGGUUUGACCGUCCCUCCGGCUCGGCGACCUACGCCCCGGAGAUUCUCGACCCGGCACACUCGCUGCCGCCGACUGCAGCAGCCCCCGGGCACGGCGGUCUGACACCCCCUCGCUUCGCCAAACUGGACUUCGCCACCUACGAGGGCACGGAGGACCCUCUCAACUGGCUCAACCAGUGCGAGCAGUUCUUUCGCGGACAACGGACGCUCGCUUCGGAUCGUACCUGGCUCGCGUCCUAUCAUCUCCGCGGCGCGGCGCAGACCUGGUACUACGCCCUCGAGCAGGACGAGGGCGGCAUGCCACCAUGGGAGCGCUUCUGGGAGCUCUGUCUUCUCCGGUUCGGGCCUCCUAUCCGCGGGAGCCGCCUGGCGGCCCUCGGCCGUUUACAGUUCACAUCCACGGUCCAGGACUACGCCGACCGCUUCCAGGCCCUGGCGUGCCACGCGCCGAGCGUCUCCGGGAUUCAGCGCGCCGAGUUAUUUGUGGGCGCUCUGCCGGACCAUAUUCGCGUGGACGUCGAGCUCCGGGAUCCCCCCGACCUCCAGACGGCCAUGUAG
rnacentral:rRNA from 1 species